rnacentral:rRNA from 1 species
CAUGAACCUUAUCAUUUAGAGGAAGGAGAAGUCGUAACAAGGUUUCCGUAGGUGAACCUGCGGAAGGAUCAUUGUCGAGACCCGAGGAUAAAGGAAAGACCGGCGAACCCGUCGACCGAACGAACCGCCGCGGCGGGGUGCGGGAGCGCUCCCCUCCCCGUCGGACGGACCCAUCCGUGUCGCCGCUCCGCUCCCCCGCCGGGGGACGGCGGCGGACGGACGGACGGACGAACCCCGGCACGGCACGUGCCAAGGAUAUUCCUCGCCAGCGCGGCACGGUGGCGGGACGGCGAUGUGCUCGCCGUCCCCCGCUCCCGUCCGCGGGUGGCAAUGAAAAGUUUCAUCCAUGAUGACUCUCGGCAACGGAUAUCUGGGCUCUCGCAUCGAUGAAGAACGUAGCGAAAUGCGAUACUUGGUGUGAAUUGCAGAAUCCCGCGAACCAUCGAGUCUUUGAACGCAAGUUGCGCCCGAGGCCUCUCGGUCGAGGGCACGCCUGCCUGGGCGUCACGCCUCGCGUCGCUCCGUGCCCCCGCGGUAUGGGUCGGACGGAAGCGGAGAUUGGCCCGACCGUGCCGUGUGCGGCGGGCUGAAGUAAGGGACGCCGACGGGGUGUGGGGACACGGCGAGUGGUGGGCGGAAGUCUCUUGCCGUGGCCGACGUCGUUCCCCCUCCCCGUAUCGUGCCCGGAGCAAAGGCCGCGCGGUCUGUCGCGUGGCCAUGAAGGGACCCUCGAGGGCGGACGGGCCGUCCGUCGGCCUCCCCUCGCAUCGCGACCCCAGGUCAGGCGGGACCACCCGCUGAGUUUAAGCAUAUCAU